GGGGAUGUAGCUCGGUUGGUAGAGUGCUUGCCUAGCAUGCACAAGGCCCCUGGUUUAAUCCCCAGCAUCACCA
rnacentral:tRNA from 1 species